UUACGAAUGGCCAAGCGGUCAAAGGCGCUGCGUUCAUGUCGCAGUCCACUUCGGUUUUGGCGUGGGUUCGAAUCCCACUCUGAUAAUGUAAA